rnacentral:rRNA from 1 species
GACGAACGCUGGCGGCGUGCUUAACACAUGCAAGUCGAACGCUGAAGCUCAGCUUUUGUUGGGUGGAUGAGUGGCGAACGGGUGAGUAACACGUGAGUAACCUGCCUCCUUCUUUGGGAUAACGCCCGGAAACGGGUGCUAAUACUGGAUAUUCACUGGUCUUCGCAUGGGGGUUGGUGGAAAGGGUUUUUCUGGUGGUGGAUGGGCUCGCGGCCUAUCAGCUUGUUGGUGGGGUGAUGGCCUACCAAGGCUUUGACGGGUAGCCGGCCUGAGAGGGUGACCGGUCACAUUGGGACUGAGAUACGGCCCAGACUCCUACGGGAGGCAGCAGUGGGGAAUAUUGCACAAUGGGCGCAAGCCUGAUGCAGCGACGCCGCGUGAGGGAUGGAGGCCUUCGGGUUGUGAACCUCUUUCGCUCAUGGUCAAGCCGCAACAAUGGUUGUGGUGAGGGUAGUGGGUAAAGAAGCGCCGGCUAACUACGUG